GCCCUCGUGGUGUAGUGGAUUAGCACUUCUGACUUCUAAUCAGACGGUCGCAGGUUCGAACCCUGCCGGGGGCG